ACAACGAGCAGAGCUUCAGGGAACUGAGGAAGAUGAAGACGAUCAAUGUGGGGCAUCAUCAUCACUCAGUCACCAUCUGGCCAACUUGUAGAUUAUAGAUAAAACUGCAGUUCUGCCAAAUUUCACAAUUGAGUUUUAAAUCCAAAGAUUCAGCUUCACAGAGAUGAAGAGCAGGUGGAAAAAACUGGAGAUAAUAAUACGAAUCAAACAGAUGAGGCCGAGUUUACCGACAGACCUGUGAUAUAAAUGUCAGUCAGAUAUUCACAACAUCACCUGUGAUUAUUUUCCAUCCCUGUAACUGAUCACAACCCAGUAAACGAUUGAUCACUGAUCAGCGUGUGCUCCGUGUUUAGAUUUCUCUGUGUGAAUGUUCACUGCAGUGCGUCUCCUGUUUCCUCUCCUGCUGCUGUUUGUGGCUCCAAAACAAACUGACAGUAUUUGGUAGUGAAAUGGCGCCACCUCGUGUCUAUGCGAUGCAAUUCACUGACGUCACAGACAGUUCAAGUUCAUCCUUCCUGUCUUUGUUACAGGUGAUGAGGCUGUCAUCGAAGGACUCAGGAUACAUCUGAUGGCUGCAGUCUGUUCUGUUAUUUCCUAGAUGCGUGGACGACGUCUUAUGCAGAAGGUGCACUCUGAAACAGACAGGAGACUGUAAGGUGGAGUCAGGUGGAAACUGAAGAAGGAGGAGACAGCCUCUGCGUGGUGUAGAAGAGUACCAGAUGACUGAAGUGCUGAGUUUCUCACUUUGGCCACCAGAGGGCAGUGAACACUCAUCACAAUCCACAGUCAACAGCAAGUAAAAACAUCAAAACAACCCCUGAUUCUC